AACGCACAUUGCGCCCGCCAGUAUUCUGGCGGGCAUGCCUGUUCGAGCGUCAUUUCAACCAUCAAGCCCCGGGCUUGUGUUGGGGACCUGCGGCUGCCGCAGGCCCUGAAAUGCAGUGGCGGGCUCGCUGUCACUCCGAGCGUAGUAGUUACAUCUCGCUCUGGGCGUGCUGCGGGUUCCGGCCGUUAAAAGCCUUAUUUUACCCAAGGUUGACCUCGGAUCAGGUAGGAAGACCCGCUGAACUUAA
rnacentral:misc_RNA from 1 species